rnacentral:lncRNA from 1 species
UUCUCUCUUUCUUCUUUCUUUAUUCACAGCAGCUCAAAAAUUUUUAAAAGAAAGUUCAAAAUUACAGAUUUUAUUUCUACGAAUUAAAUCAGUACUCCCUUCUUCCUCACCUAAUUAGGUCGUCUUCUUCAUCUUCUUCAGAAUAAACAGAAUGAAUCAAAAAUUAAGAGAUAAACUUGAAUGAACCAAUAAAAUGAAUAAAAAGCAGAAUAAACCAGAGGCGGAGCUAGAAAAAAAAUUUAUGGGGGUCAAUUUUAAUUUAUAAUGUAUUUUGAACAAAUUUUAUGGGGGUCAUUUAGUUAAAUUAUUAAUAUUAUAUCUAUUUUUUACAUAAAAAAAAAAAUAUUUAUAAAAAAAUUUAAAUUUUACCUGGGUCAAUUGCCCCUCCUCCCAGCAUGCUCCCUCCGCCACUGGAAUAAACACAAUGAAUCACGAGUGAAGUCUUGAACCAGAAUGAACCAAUACAAAGACAAAGAACAAACCAAUAGAUAAGCCGCGACUAGUCGAACAAAAAAUAGUAUAAACCCAUAUUGAAUGAGUAGAUUACACCCUAGAACCAGUAGCAUAAUCAAAGGAAUUAAGAGAUAACUAGUAAAACCAGCCAAACAAACAUUUAAAAUAAAAAAGAUGAAGAAGACGAUGGCCCAAUAGGGUGGAGAAGAAG